AACGAACGCUGGCGGCAGGCUUAACACAUGCAAGUCGAACGCCCCGCAAGGGGAGUGGCAGACGGGUGAGUAACGCGUGGGAACAUACCCCUUCCUGCGGAAUAGCUCCGGGAAACUGGAAUUAAUACCGCAUACGCCCUACGGGGGAAAGAUUUAUCGGGGAAGGAUUGGCCCGCGUUGGAUUAGCUAGUUGGUGGGGUAAAGGCCUACCAAGGCGACGAUCCAUAGCUGGUCUGAGAGGAUGAUCAGCCACAUUGGGACUGAGACACGGCCCAAACUCCUACGGGAGGCAGCAGUGGGGAAUAUUGGACAAUGGGCGCAAGCCUGAUCCAGCCAUGCCGCGUGAGUGAUGAAGGCCUUAGGGUUGUAAAGCUGUUUCACCGAUGAAGAUAAUGACGGUAGUCGGAGAAGAAGCCCCGGCUAACUUCGUGCCAGCCGCCGCCGUAAUAC
rnacentral:rRNA from 1 species